rnacentral:rRNA from 1 species
AUUGAACGCUGGCGGCAGGCCUAACACAUGCACGUCGAACGAGUGGCGGACGGGUGAGUAAUGUAUGGGAAACUGCCCUGUGGUGGGGGAUAACUACUGGAAACGGUCGCUAAUACCGCAUACCAUCGGAUGUGCCUAGAUGGGAUUAGCUAGUAGGUGGGGUAACGGCUCACCGAGGCGACGAUCCCUAGCUGGUCUGAGAGGAUGAGCAGCCACACUGGAACUGAGACACGGUCCAGACUCCUACGGGAGGCAGCAGUGGGGAAUAUUUGACAAUGGGCGCAAGCCUGAUCCAGCCAUGCCGCGUGGAUGAAGAAGGCCUUCGGGUUGUAAAGUACUUUCAGCGGGGAGGCGUUACCCGCAGAAGAAGCACCGGCUAACUCCGUGCCAGCAGCCGCGGUAAUAC